rnacentral:tRNA from 1 species
AAAAUCCGUUGGUUUCACAAGAAAGACCGUGAGGGUUYGACUCCCUCUAUCCCCA